rnacentral:rRNA from 1 species
UACGUAGGGCGCAAGCGUUGUCCGGAAUUAUUGGGCGUAAAGAGCUCGUAGGUGGUGUGUCGCGUCUGCCGUGAAAGCCCGGGGCUUAACUCCGGGUCUGCGGUGGAUACGGGCAGACUAGAGGCAGGUAGGGGAGAACGGAAUUCCCGGUGUAGCGGUGAAAUGCGCAGAUAUCGGGAGGAACACCGGUGGCGAAGGCGGGACUCUGGGCCGAUACUGACGCUGAGGAGCGAAAGCGUGGGGAGCGAACGAGG